UUUCUCCAGCAAUGGUUUCAAAGCACACUAGGCACAGUUUCAAGUUUCAAGUACUAAAGGAGACAUUAAGAGUAUAAGCUCGUGGGUUUUCUCUAACAAGUGUCCUAAUGAUACUACAAUUAAAUGCAGCAGUUGACAGAGUCUGAGGAAGGUUCAUAAGAAUGCUCUAAAACAUCCCCACCAAAGAAAAAAGGGAAAAAAAAAGAAGUGAAAUUAUAGGAAUAUAGAGAUAGAGUGGAGCUGAAAAAGUUACCAGGGGGAUUAUAAAGUCCAGAACAUGGUGUUGGUGGGUUGGUCUUGAAGUUGUUCGAUGGAAUUACUAGGAGGGAUUUGAGGUCGUGAUGAACAAUAAGAGAAAACAGAGCAUUUCCAAUCGCUAGCGAGAGUGAGUGCCUGUUCAAACCCGCAACACUUGGAGGAUUCAUAAGAGAUGAAGCCAACCAUUGUUGGAGAAGCAGAAAGAGAGGAAAUUGGAGAAGACUCAAGGGGUGAAGAUGGUGGUUGACGGCGGAGAAACGAUUGAAGAAGCAUAAUUGUUAGAGAGAUCUUGGAGGCUGGUGUUGGAGAAGAAGAUGCCGAUGGUGGUGGUUUCAACUGAUGAACAGUGAUGAUGAUUGAAACAAGAACCAAAGCUACGUGUUUAAAUUUGGUUGGUUUUGGUUUAAAACAAAAGCUGACAUGGAAUUUUUACUUUUUUAUAAAAAUUUUAAUUUAAGUAUAAUUUGUAAUAA